rnacentral:rRNA from 1 species
GACGAACGCUGGCGGCGUGCUUAACACAUGCAAGUCGAACGGAAAGGCCCUGCUGUUGUGGGGUGCUCGAGUGGCGAACGGAUGGGUAACAAGUGAGUAACCUGCCCUUGACUUUGGGAUAACUUCAGGAAACUGAGGCUAAUUACGGAUGGGAGCCCCUGCUUCUUGGUGGGGGUUGGAAUGUUUGGUCGGUUGGGGAUGGACUGGCGGCUUAUUAGCUUGUUGGUGGGGUAGUGGCUUACCAAGGCUUUGACGGGUAGCCGGCCUGUGAGGGGGACCGGCCACAUUGGGACUGAGAUACGGACCAGACUCCUACGGGAGGCAGCAGUGGGGAAUAUUGCACAAUGGGCGGAAGCCUGAUGAAGCAACGCCGCGUGCGGGAUGACGGCCUUCGGGUUGUAAACCGCUUUCGCCUGUGACGAAGCGUGAGUGACGGUAAUGGGUAAAGAAGCACCGGCUAACUACGUG